GGUUGCGAUCAUACCAGCACUAAUACACCGGACCCAUCAGAACUCCGUUGUUAAGCGUGCUUGGCGAGAGUAGUACUAGGAUGGGUGACCCUCUGGGAAGUCCUCGUGUUGCAACCCC
rnacentral:rRNA from 1 species